rnacentral:rRNA from 1 species
UACGGAGGGGGCCAGCGUUGUUCGGAAUCAUUGGGCGUAAAGGGCGCGUAGGCGGCUUUGUAAGUCCGUUGUGAAAUCCCUCGGCUCAACCGAGGAACUGCGACGGAUACUGCUUGGCUUGAGUCCCGGAGAGGGUAGCGGAAUUCCCAGUGUAGCGGUGAAAUGCGUAGAUAUCGGGAGGAACAUCAGUGGCGAAGGCGGCCCUCUGGUCCAGUACUGACACUCAAGUGCGAAAGCGUGGGGAGCAAACAGG